GACGAACGCUGGCGGCGUGCUUAACACAUGCAAGUCGAACGGAAAGGCCCUGCUUUUGUGGUGUGCUCGAGUGGCGAACGGGUGAGUAACACGUGAGUAACCUGCCCUUGACUUUGGGAUAACUUCAGGAAACUGGGGCUAAUACCGGAUAGGAGCUCCUGCUGCAUGGUGGGGGUGGGAAAGUUUCGGCGGUUGGGGAUGGACUCGCGGCUUAUCAGCUUGUUGGUGGGGUAGUGGCUUACCAAGGCUUUGACGGGUAGCCGGCCUGAGAGGGUGACCGGCCACACUGGGACUGAGAUAAGGCCCAGACUCCUACGGGAGGACGCAGUGGGGAAUAUUGCACAAUGGGCGGAAGCCUGAUGCAGCAACGCCGCGUGCGGGAUGACGGCCUUCGGGUUGUAAACCGCUUUCGCCUGUGACGAAGCGUGAGUGACGGUAAUGGGUAAAGAAGCCACGGCUAAAUACGUG
rnacentral:rRNA from 1 species